UACAGAGGGUGCAAGCGUUAAUCGGAUUUACUGGGCGUAAAGGGCGCGUAGGUGGUUACUUAAGUGAGAUGUGAAAUCCCCGGGCUUAACCUGGGAACUGCAUCUUAUACUGGGUAACUGGAGUACAUUAGAGGGUAGUGGAAUUUCCGGUGUAGCGGUGAAAUGCGUAGAUAUCGGAAGGAACACCAGUGGCGAAGGCGGCUACCUGGAAUGGUACUGACACUGAGGCGCGAGAGCGUGGGGAGCAAACAGG
rnacentral:rRNA from 1 species